AGUGAACGCUGGCGGUAGGCCUAACACAUGCGAGUCGAACGGCAGCACAGUAAGAGCUUGCUCUUACGGGUGGCGAGUGGCGGACGGGUGAGGAAUACAUCGGAAUCUACUUUUUCGUGGGGGAUAACGUAGGGAAACUUACGCUAAUACCGCAUACGACCUACGGGUGAAAGCAGGGGAUCUUCGGACCUUGCGCGAUUGAAUGAGCCGAUGUCGGAUUAGCUAGUUGGCGGGGUAAAGGCCCACCAAGGCGACGAUCCGUAGCUGGUCUGAGAGGAUGAUCAGCCACACUGGAACUGAGACACGGUCCAGACUCCUGCGGGAGGCAGCAGUGGGGAAUAUUGGACAAAGGGCGCAAGCCUGAUCCAGCCAUACCGCGUGGGUGAAGAAGGCCUUCGGGUUGUAAAGCCCUUUUGUUGGGAAAGAAAAGCAGCAGGUUAAUACCCCGCUGUUCUGACGGUACCCAAAGAAUAAGCACCGGCUAACUUCGUG
rnacentral:rRNA from 1 species